UACGGGGGGGGCAAGCGUUGUUCGGAAUUACUGGGCGUAAAGGGCUCGUAGGUGGCCGACUAAGUCAGACGUGAAAUCCCUCAGCUUAACUGGGGAACUGCGUCUGAUACUGGAUGGCUUGAGUUUGGGAGAGGGAUGCGGAAUUCCAGGUGUAGCGGUGAAAUGCGUAGAUAUCUGGAGGAACACCGGUGGCGAAGGCGGCAUCCUGGACCAACACUGACACUGAGGAGCGAAAGCCAGGGGAGCAAACAGG
rnacentral:rRNA from 1 species